UACAAAUUCUGAAGUUUGAGAGUCAUCAAAUUGUUCAAAUUAAAUUGUUUCAAAAGAAAAUUUUGAAAAAUAAAAGACCAAAAGAGAAACUAACACAUUGACACAUAUAUCCGAGUACGUCCCCUAUGCUUUUGAAAGUACAUAUGGAGGUUUUUGUAUUUGUAAGUUGUUUUUGAUGAUAGAACAUUUAAUUCGAUCAUUGUUUUCGUUAAUUAUGAUCUACGUUAUUAGAGUUAUUAAAAAACUAAAUUUUAUAGUCUUUCGACAUCAUUUACUAAAUAAUCAAAGGCUCUCAAAAAAGAUUGUUUUAAUGGCUGAUGUGGCACGUUUGUAAGUUUAAUCAGUAGAACAAUUCAAAUUUUAUGAAAUUUUAAUAGAAAAUUCUACUUAACAUCAACAGUUAGCGAGAUCAACACUUUCAGUUUGAAAUUUGAUUCUUUUAUCACUGUUUCUUGUAAGAUUUUUAUUUUCAGCCGUUCAUUUUGAGGCUACUUGUUUACUAGACAGGCGAAAUUAAAAAGUUAUGAAAUUUAAUUUUUUUAAUAGUUUAAUCAGCGUAGAUCAUGUUUAACGGAACCGAUCAUCAAAUCAGAUGUCCUUUUUUUAAAAAAAAUUUAUAAGUACAGAGGUCUCUGUAUUUUUUAAAAUGUAGGAGCCUAAUUCCAUGUAUUCUUCUUCUUUCUUCUUUUUUUUUUUUUUUUUUUUUUUUUUU
rnacentral:lncRNA from 1 species